CCAGUGGUAGCUGAGUGGUUAAGCUGUUUGACUACUGAAUGGAUGGACAUGAGUUCAAAUCCCAGCUACUGCU